UACAGAGACUGCGAGCGUUAUUCGGAUUCACUGGGCGUAAAGGGUGCGCAGGCGGCCGAGUCGUGUGAGGCGUGAAAGCCCGGGGCUUAACCCCGGAAUUGACACCUCAAACUACACGGCUAGAGCAUUGGAGAGGGUAGCAGAAUUCAUGGUGUAGCGGUGAAAUGCGCGAUAUCAAGGAGGAACACCGGUGGCGAAGGCGGUCUCUGGGCAUUACCUGACGCUGAGGAGCGAAAGUGUGGGAGGC
rnacentral:rRNA from 1 species